rnacentral:rRNA from 1 species
GCGAGUGAAGCGGCAACAGCUCAAAUUUGAAAGCUGGCUCCGGCCCGCAUUGUAAUUUGCAGAGGAUGCUUUUGGCGAGGUGCCUUCCGAGUUCCCUGGAACGGGACGCCAUAGAGGGUGAGAGCCCCGUAUGGAUGGACACCAGACCUGUGUAAAGCUCCUUCAACGAGUCGAGUAGUUUGGGAAUGCUGCUCUAAAUGGGAGGUAAAUCUCUUCUAAAGCUAAAUACCGGCCAGAGACCGAUAGCGCACAAGUAGAGUGAUCGAAAGAUGAAAAGCACCUUGAAAAGGGGGUUAAACAGUACGUGAAAUUGUUGAAAGGGAAGCAUUUAUGACCAGACUUGCGCCGGGCAGCUCAUCAGGGGUUCUCCCCUGUGCACUCUGCCCGGCUCAGGCCAGCAUCGGUUCUCGUGGGAGGAUAAGAACAGUGGGAACGUGGCCCCCCUCCGGGGGGGUGUUAUAGCCCAUUGUACGAUACUCUCGUGGGGACCGAGGUUCGCGCUCCGCAAGGAUGCUGG